rnacentral:rRNA from 1 species
AUGGUCAGGCCAAACCUCCUGCCCGCUCUAACCAAACUUCGUGCCGUGGCCGUGCCCGCAAACUGCAAGGCCGGACUGGUAGAACUUCACCUGCACGCCGACGAAGCAAACUGCACCUGCCGAAACUGCACGCCGGCGGGCCGCGAGCUGCCCUCGCUGGAGAUGUGGGCUGCGGCAAACUCCGGCUACACAGUGGAUGAUGGGUGCAAUGGGUGGAUGAUUUUGCAGCGCGGCGAGGGGCGGGGUGGCGCGUUGGUUGGGGUGGCUGGGCGGUGCGUCGGAGCGGGUAGGGCGCGGGGAGAAGGUGGGUGGGAGGGGGUGGCGCAUCAGAGAAGGACGGAGGUUGUGGGGUGGGAGCGGCGGCGGAUGGUGCUGUUGUGGUGGGCCGGCGUAGAGGAGAAGGUGGAAGGAGUGGUGGUGGGGGCGGUUGCGGGUAGAAGGAGGCGAGUUGGAUGGGGCAAGUUUUCGCUGCAGUUCGUUUAUGGAUCUUUUUCGGAUUGGCCGGUGCUGCCGGCUGGCGUCAAGUUCGAUCCCAUGGAUCAGGAGCUGAUCGAGCACCUUGAGGCCAAAGUGAGUGCUGACAGCGCGAGAUCUCACCCUCUCAUCGAUUUAUUCAUACCAACCAUCGACAGCGAGCACGGCAUAUGCUACACCCAUCCUGAGAAACAUUCAGCAAAAAGGUUCUGGUGCUGCACACCAACAAGAACUUCGACCAUUCCCGAAAAAAAGAACUUCGACUACCAGAGGACCAACUGGGUGAUGCACCAGUACCACCUCGGGGACCUGGAGCAAGAGAAGGAGCGGGAGCUGGUCCUCUGCAAAGAUUUUCUACUAGACGAACACUAG